GCAUUUAGCGCUGAUUCAAUUCUACAAAUAGUAUCAUUUGAGUGAUUUAAGUGUAAUUUAAUCUUUAUCUGCAACAUAUCAAAUUGAAGCAGAUUGAAUCAACAUGCCAAACGAAAGAAAAAGCAUUCAUAUGUGGUUUGUAAUGUAAGCGUUAUGGAUACAGCUUCAAACUAUUAGAUUAUCUCAUCGAUAUAUUCAGCAUUCAAAAUGAACACCCUGCACCCUGGCAGUUUGACGUGUACAGUGUGUGCGUUGGCUGCAGAUCAAACACUGUGAGGCUCCAAAUCAUUCAUUAUUUCCACAGUGUUCACCAGGAAGCGCUCAGGAAUACCAAUACUCUGCUGCUGUCUUCACACCACUAAGCAUGUUUCCUUUUCUGUUCUCGUCCUGUGUGUGUGUUUCAGGUUUCGCCUCAUUCCCCGCGCCCGACUCUCAGCCCAAAGUCCCUCGUCCGAUGUCGGUGAACCCGUUUACGGGCAAUGUUUACGCCAGUAGAGGGACGUCGCGAAACCCUUUCAUCUGACCCCCCCCCCCCCUUCUCUUCUUACUUCAUCUCUGGGAAAAAAGGGAGAACUUGAGGAGUCGCUGCCAUUUCAAUGCCUCUGGAGUAUUCUCCCCCUCUCUCCCCCCCCCCUCUGUCUGUGUUUACGUGUUAUAGUGAGGAACAAAAAAAUGUGUGAAUGUAAUUAUGGUAUUCAUGUGUGUCUGGGAUCGGUCGCCUGCUGUGUUUGUACCAUAUGUCAAAAAAGGUGUUUGUGUGCCAGUAGACGCCUCCUCAGGGCUCUGUGGGAGUCGAGAGUAGAACAACGCCUCUAUGAUUUUUGCAGAAACAAAACACACACACACACACACACACAUGUCGCUGCUGCUACUUUGCUUUCAUCUCCUGCUUUAAAGUGCAAAAAAAACUUGCCUAUCUGUGCAUCAGCGUCUUCUAAACAAACGAGUCAGUCGUCCAAAAGGAAGAGCCGGAUCGUGAGUUUCUACAGGAGCUCAUGACAGCCUUAACAGCCUCCUGGUGCACGGGAGUUAGCCUCUAAAGACGAGACAGGCUUUUCUCCGUGUUGAGUGUGUGGAACAUGUUUGCAUUACUCAUCGUUUUUUUUUUCUUCCCAGGUCAUCCUGUGGAAGGAUAAUGUAUGUUUUCCACUUCCUAGGCUGCAUGCGCUUAGAGGGCUAAAAGGAGAUGCUACUGAAUGUAAAAGAAAUUUCAGAAUAACUUAAAUGUGUAUAAACAGUUCGUCAUUGCUUCACGUUCCGGACCAUAAUGUUUUUUUGUUUUUUGUUGACAUGGAGGCGAAGUUCAUUUCCCCGUAUAUGCCAAAAAGAAAAGAGAUUAAUGUGUCUUUGUGAAGACGAGUAUUCAUGUUCAUAAAAUCAGUUUGUUGCUUCUUAA